GACUUCAGAAGUCUUGGCAUAGUCACAUGGAUCACUUUUAUGUUGGUUUUGUGGUGCUUUUGGUCCAUUUUGGAGAUUGACAGCACUGGUCCUCAUCCACCUUUAAGGUGCCUCUCGUCGUCCAGCAUACAGAGACUCUCAGGAGAGACCCACCCCGAGGAGAAUUAAUAACAGACAAGAAAGCCAAUGAAGUCUGAGAGUGUUUUGCAUCAUCGUGCCCUACUGGUCCCCUGAGGACAUGCGUUAAAGGGCCUAGAGAUAUGACCGCCCGUCAGAGCGCAACAUGAUGGCUGUCAUUCAGAAGUGAGACGAUGACUUCACUUGUGUCCUUACCCUGCUGAGAAGAAGACCUGAGAUGUACCAGGGUCAGUAGCACCGCCAUGUUGCCAGGCUGUCUGUGGAGGAGUGUGAUAAACUCGGGUGUACAAAGUGAGUGAAAAAAUCCAUCAGACUCGAGGGCUGGCAUCUGUCAACAAAAUAAACACUAACUGGCUUUCAGUCAGCACUGAAAUAUAGUACGCCGAAAGUGGUUUGGGCUCCAUAUAAAUCUCAGACUGAAGAUACAGAGGGCCAGUAUCAGGAAUACAACACUCAGAAUGAUGGCGGCACACUGGGCACAUUAUCCUGCUGAAAGAGGCCACAGCCACCAGGGAAUACUGUUUCCAUGAAAGGGUGUACAUGGUCUGCAACAAUGCUUAGGAAGGUGGGAUGUGUCAAAGUAACAUCCACAUGGAUGGCAGGACCCAAGGUUUCCCAGCCCAGAGCAUCACACUGCCUCUGCCGGCUUGCCUUCUUCCCAUAGUGCAUCCUGGUGCCAUGUGUUCCCCAGAAGAGUGGAGCUCUCAUGGACAGCCAUUCUAUCCCAGCAGCACCUCGAGACAGCAGAAGGAGGCUUUCUGAGCCAUAAAAAUAAAACAUAAACAACACUUCAGAGCACAGGGAGACCUGGAAUGACAUUAGGAAGGCCAAUGUGAAAUAUUCAGCCAGUACAGAUGAAAUCAGGAAGUUGUGUAUAUCCAGCUACUACAGUGUAUAUAUAAAGCUGCCUCUGUCAAAGAUUCACAAAAGACACCCACACACUGCCAACAGAGACCACAACGAGAGCCUGCUGUUUCUAAAGGACUUGGCUGGUGUCACCUGGUCGUGAGUUGAAGGGCAAGGAAAGGAAGAUGAAGAGCUCAUCUCUGGCCAACAAAAGCGAACCUAUUAACCACAGAAUACAUUUUGUUGUGUUCCUUCACUGCAUGCAGGAGGAAAAGUAAUAUAUUUCAAUAUCUUAUGCGACCGUGAAUCUGACGAGAGAAAUUAUAAAAUGUCUUUUAUUUUGCCUAAUUUAGCACGCAAGCCUUAAUAUUACAAUUUUAUUUCAGAUGAAAGCAAUGACAAAGCAAGAUUAACCAAUCUUUCACUUACCUAAUCAAUAAAGACAUUCAGAAGGAGACAGUAUUUUUUUAAAUUGAAUUAAUAAGUCUAAUUGGCAUUAAAGCAGAAUGAUCUUUUUAAGGGAGCUCUAUAAUUCAUAUUUCUCCAUUAUAUUCCCCAAUGCUCUAUACGAAACAUAGGCCUGAGAGAUGAAUACAGGUACAGGAUGUCCCCAAGGUCUGCUAAUUGUAUUAGAUUUCUUAGAGCAAGCAAAGCGAGUCAAUAAAUAUUUGAGGGAUAACACGGACUCAGUCUCAACGGAGACCUUAUGAACCAGCAUGCUGGAAAGCGAAUAAAUAGAGUCAAGGAUUACAGUGUUGCAAAUCUCAAAGUUAGUGCGAUCGUCUCCCGCUCCUUACCUUCAGGGAAGAAAGCUGUGCGCUGUGGGAUUUUUGCAAUUUCUUGCAUGGUGGGACAGGUGUAUUUACUUUGGUAAUUUUAUUCCUUUUCCCAAUUCAUAAUGUGAUUAAAUAUUAAUGCUAUUCAGAGCACCAGAAAAAGCAGAUCUCAGAAAUUAUCUAGGCAGCCAUAAUGCAAAACCGUUUUCUCCCAAGUCUUUGCAAGUCUUCUUUAUGGCCGUCUAUCAUGUUGGUUUGUAAUAUAUCACAUAAAAUGGAAAGAAAAUAACUGCCUUGACACUUUAUCUCCAAGGGCCCUCAGAGUGCACAACUAUUGUUUUACUAAAUCCAAUUGACAUGUUUUCCCAAACGUGCCUUAAAAAAAAAAAAAAAAAACAUAGAUGCCAUCACAAAUCAAUAGAAGUGCUAAUUGUACUUGUACAAAAUACAGUAUAGAGGCUAUGGGUCAAUUUUAAAGUGUUCUCAUAGCUGGAUUAGCCCUGAAACUGAAUUAUUCAUUAAAUCUUUUUAAUGCAGGCAUAAUUACUUCUUUUUUAAAGAGAGUGUUAACUUUUACUGCAAUACACCCCUAAUUUAAUGUCACCUAAGAAUGAGUGGAAGGUAAUUUGGUCGUUUUAAUUAGGGAUGUAGUUCAAAAUAGAAUAAUGAGUUUUAUCUCACCUGCCCUUAGACUUAAUACUUUAUGUCUUGAGAUGUUCACACUGCUUAACUGUUAGGAUGGCAUGUUCACAGCUCCUGCACAGAAAAGUACACUUUUAUUUUAAGAUGAAUAAACUGGUUUGAAUUACACUAAAGAAUUAAACAAUUUAUUUUACACAGCUCUACAUAGUCAAUAUAAGACAAUUGACUGGGAAUAUAAGACAAAAGACAAAACUGGGAAUAUAAUCAGUCCCAUAUGGCAAAAAUAAUAUAUUUUACACAAAAUAUUUGCUAAAGUGGAUGUUAAAAUACUGCAUUUUUACUUUGCUUGUCAUUUUUAUAUUUUCAAUCUAAAUACAUUUACUGUAUAUUGUGCAAUUGUUUUGCCC